GUGACGAACGGGUGAGUAACACGUGAGCAAUCUGCCCUUGACUCUGGGAUAACUGCGGGAAACUGUAGCUAAUACCGGAUAUUACCUUGGAAGGCAUCUUCUGGGGUGGAAAGAAUUUUGGUCAAGGAUGAGCUCGCGGCCUAUCAGCUAGUUGGUGAGGUAAUGGCUCACCAAGGCGACGACGGGUAGCCGGCCUGAGAGGGUGACCGGCCACACUGGGACUGAGACACGGCCCAGACUCCUACGGGAGGCAGCAGUGGGGAAUAUUGCACAAUGGGCGCAAGCCUGAUGCAGCAACGCCGCGUGAGGGACGACGGCCUUCGGGUUGUAAACCUCUUUUAGUAGGGAAGAAGCGACUGGGUUUUCCUGGGAGUGACGGUACCUGCAGAAAAAGCACCGGCUAACUACGUGCCAGCAUCCGCGGUAAUACGUAGGGUGCAAGCGUUGUCCGGAAUUAUUGGGCGUAAAGAGCUCGUAGGCGGUUUGUCGCGUCUGCUGUGAAAACCCGAGGCUCAACCUCGGGCCUGCAGUGGGUACGGGCAGACUAGAGUGCGGUAGGGGAGAUUGGAAUUCCUGGUGUAGCGGUGGAAUGCGCAGAUAUCAGGAGGAACACCAAUGGCGAAGGCAGAUCUCUGGGCCGUAACUGACGCUGA
rnacentral:rRNA from 1 species